CAACAACAACAUAGCUUGUAGAAAGCACGGGAUCCCGUCCGCUCUCCCUUAGUUAACCUACAAAGCGCUGGAUCAGUAGUACGAUA
rnacentral:rRNA from 1 species